GCUCCCAUCGUCUAGUCCGGUCAAGGACGUGAGGCUUUCAACCUUAAAACUCGGGUUCAAAUCCCGAUGGGAGCA
rnacentral:tRNA from 1 species